rnacentral:rRNA from 1 species
GGGCCCGCACAAGCGGUGGAGCAUGUGGUUUAAUUCGAUGAUACGCGAGGAACCUUACCAGGGCUUAAAUGUAGUAUGACCGGCUUGGAAACAGGCCUUCUCUUCGGAGCAGAUUACAAGGUGCUGCAUGGUUGUCGUCAGCUCGUGCCGUGAGGUGUUAGGUUAAGUCCUGCAACGAGCGCAACCCCUAUUCUUAGUUGCCAGCGGUUCGGCCGGGGACUCUAAGAAGACUGCCAGCGCAAGCUGAGAGGAAGGUGGGGAUGACGUCAAAUCAUCACGGCCCUUACGUCCUGGGCUACACACGUGCUACAAUGGUAGAGACAGAGGGCAGCCACCUGGUGACAGGGAGCGAAUCCCAAAAAGCCGGUCUCAGUUCGGAUCGCAGUCUGCAACUCGACUGCGUGAAGCUGGAAUCGCUAGUAAUCG